rnacentral:tRNA from 2 species
AGGGGCGUAGCUCAGCUGGUAGAGCAGCGGUCUCCAAAACCGCAGGUCGUGGGUUCGAAUCCUACCGCCCCUGCCA